AGAGUUUGAUCCUGGCUCAGAUUGAACGCUGGCGGCAGGCCUAACACAUGCAAGUCGAACGGUAACAUUUCUAGCUUGCUAGAAGAUGACGAGUGGCGGACGGGUGAGUAAUGCUUGGGAACUUGCCUUUGCGAGGGGGAUAACAGUUGGAAACGACUGCUAAUACCGCAUAAUGUCUACGGACCAAACGGGGCUUAGGCUCCGGCGCAAAGAGAGGCCCAAGUGAGAUUAGCUAGUUGGUAAGGUAAUGACUUACCAAGGCAACGAUCUCUAGCUGUUCUGAGAGGAAGAUCAGCCACACUGGAACUGAGACACGGUCCAGACUCCUACGGGAGGCAGCAGUGGGGAAUAUUGCACAAUGGGGGAAACCCUGAUGCAGCCAUGCCGCGUGUGUGAAGAAGGCCUUCGGGUUGUAAAGCACUUUCAGUUGUGAGGAAAAGUUAGUAGUUAAUACCUGCUAGCCGUGACGUUAACAACAGAAGAAGCACCGGCUAACUCCGUGCCAGCAGCCGCGGUAAUACGGAGGGUGCGAGCGUUAAUCGGAGUUACUGGGCGUAAAGCGCACGCAGGCGGUUUGUUAAGCUAGAUGUGAAAGCCCCGGGCUCAACCUGGGAUGGUCAUUUAGAACUGGCAGACUAGAGUCUUGGAGAGGGGAGUGGAAUUCCAGGUGUAGCGGUGAAAUGCGUAGAUAUCUGGAGGAACAUCAGUGGCGAAGGCGACUCCCUGGCCAAAGACUGACGCUCAUGUGCGAAAGUGUGGGUAGCGAACAGGAUUAGAUACCCUGGUAGUCCACACCGUAAAC
rnacentral:rRNA from 1 species